GUACUGGGGCAUGUGGUUUAAUUCGAUGCAAAGAGAAGAACUUUAUCAUGGCCUAACAUGUCGCGAAUCCUUUUGAAAGAGAAGGGUGCCUUUGGGAGCACGAACACAGGUAAAACAUGAUUGUCGUUAACUUGUGCUGUAAAUUGUUGGGUUAAGUUCCACAAUGAGUGCAACACUCGUGUUUAGUUGUUAUCGUUGAGUUUGGGACCUUAAACGGACUGUCGAUGAUAAGUCGGAGGAGGGUGAGGAUAAUGUCAAGUCAUCAUACCCUUUAUGCCCUGGACAACAACACACGUACUACAAUGCCCACAAGUCUAGAGAAAUAACAAUUGCAAUUAGAGGUGACUCAAAUAAAUUGAGAGUCUUAUUUAGUAUUUGUUUGGUUUAACUUUUAUGAAAAUCA
rnacentral:rRNA from 1 species